rnacentral:rRNA from 1 species
CCCAAGAGAUCGGGAUAACACCUGGAAACAGANUGCUAAUACCGGAUAACAACAGAUGAUGCCUAUCAACUGUUUAAAAGAUGGUUCUGCUAUCACUCUUGGAUGGACCUGCGGUGCAUUAGCUAGUUGGUAGGGUAACGGCCUACCAAGGCGAUGAUGCAUAGCCGAGUUGAGAGACUGAUCGGCCACAUUGGGACUGAGACACGGCCCAAACUCCUACGGGAGGCAGCAGUG